rnacentral:lncRNA from 1 species
GGACGCCCUUCUGCUGCCAAAGCUGGCUGGUGGUUCUUUCUGGAAUGGCAGCUUUCCCCAUCCCCCUUCAGGCUUGGGUCGAUCUUCUGGCAGGCAAACGUACUAAAGAGUUACAGGUGGUGCAGAUACGGUUUGGAAGGAAUCCCAGCUGGGCCUCCUCCCAGAAGCCUUCUGAUCACUCACCAGAUAACUCUAGCUGCUUGCAGAGUCCUGGGAAUCUUAGCUUCUCCAGGAAACCAGCUUCAAGGGCAACAAGAGGUUCUGAGGAGCUAGAAUAAUCUCGGAAGCUGAAACUGCUUUGUCCUUUUGCUUCCUUAGGUUGGAAAUAUUUUUGCAAUACCACUGAAUCCUCCAGUUUUUACCCCUUACGAUGGGAAGUGAAUACAGUAUGAAAAGGGAGUGGGACAUAUGAGAGGAACGACAGGCUCAAAAUAUGAAGACUUAAUCCAGACACCUCUGUGUCUCUGAACUUGCGUUGUUUCUUCUUUGGAGGUGAAGUACACAUCGUUUUACUCCGGGCAGAGGACUUGUGCUCCUUUUGAGAACUUUCAGCUCUGUAGUGUCGAGUCUUCUGGUUUCCAGAUCCACAUCCUGCCCUGGGGGAAUUGACAUCCAUCAGUGUCUUUGUGUGCAUGAGUGGGUUUGUGGGAGGUGAAGAGCAGAGGGAGAAAAAGAGAGAGAAGAGGAGGGUGAGAGAGAGGAACAGAAGACCUGGCUGUACUCCUGAAUAACACUGACUUCUUCUAGGAAAGCACUCUGAAGCCAAGUUGAAACAUUAUACUCUCAGGCAGUAGUAGAGAUCAACCUCUUAAAACCAAAUCCAUGGGCCCAGGAGUAUGGAAAAGAGUUCAAUAAAAUGGCCUUAACUGGUAUAAGAAGUUACAAUUGUUAAAAGGAGAUUCAGCUGUGAUAGCAAAAGAGAAAGAAAAUGAAAAAGUUGUCCUGGCUCAUCUCUGGAAAGACAUGAUAUUUCAUAACCUCAAGGUGUUUGCUUCUGACCUAUAACUUCAAUUAUAGACCAGGUUAUCCAAAAGUUCUCCUUAUUAACAAGGUAUCUGUUUUUACCAGGUGUCUGUUAUUAAUUAGUUAGUAUAUAAUUUAAUGCAAUUAACCAAAGCACCUCUUAUGCCUAGAACAUAGCAGGUGGUUUACUUCUUUCUUAUGACAUAUUCAAGACUCAUGGUUUUCCCAUUUUUAGAGUCAAAAACAUAAAUUCCUCCUUUUGCUUUCCUGCGCUAACAUAUCCACCUCACACACCUGUUUACUCUUUGUUUGCAGGGAAAUGUGUACAUCUGCUAGGGCGUGAUCUCGAUGAUGAGGUGACAUAUGGGAUGUCAUUCCAUUAUUUAAAGAACAAAUUCCAAAGAUCAAACUUUUCUCCCCACACUUGUGAGUGAUACAUGGGUCUUCUCAGGGACAUUAAAAUGGAGCUAGUCUCACUGAUUUCAUGGACAUUUAGCAUACAAUUAUUGAGUUACCUGCUGAAAUCUCUUCAUACAUAUCUGGUUUCACCCUAGGUUAUGAAUAUCCAUGCAGACUAUUUUUCCAAGCUUCUACGCAACUAACCUUGGCACUUACCCCCAGCUCAGGCAGCAAGCAAAUUAUUCUGGCUUGAUGUCCAUCUGAUGGUUUACUCUUGCUACCUCCUACUCCCUACUAUAACCACAAAUGACCUCCUCCCCACUUGCUCUCAUUCUUACCAGAAGUUUUCAGUUAACAGCUCACUACUAAGCCAGUUUCCUUCUUAAAGUAUAUAUAUCCUUUUAAAAUUUCCAGUCUUGUUACUCUCUCUCUUCCUCUUCAAUUUCUUGUCCUGUUGUCACAAGAUCUCUUCUUAGCUCACCAAAUUAUCUUCUCUUCCCUUUCUCUUUUAUUCCAUUUAUGAACAAGACACCAACUUCUACCACAACAACAGAACAAAACAACCCCUAGCUUCAAAGAGAACAAAAAAACCCCAAAAUAAAUUAAAAAUGGCUUUAAUGCUUAGAGUUGCAGGGACAAGAAAAACCACAUUCUUUUAAAAUGAAAUUAGAUGUCAUAAAGGACUAUGAACUAGUAAGAGUUCCCCGAAGUCCCCUUCCGAAUCUCACAAAAGACUCCAUCUCCUUCUUCAUCUGGCUUUUUGUUAAUAACCAAUGUCCAAUAUAAAUAGAAACAUUGCUUUGUUUUGAUUGUAUUGCUCUUUCAUUUGUGCAAAUGGUAGUAUUUCUAUUGUAUCAAUGAUAAACUUUUUCAGGCAAGCCUGAGAUGGCAGAUUACAACAUUAUUUCUAUGGGAACACCCAUUCCUAAUUGGAAACAAUCAGAUUACCAACAGAGAGUUCAUAAACUGAGAGCUGCCUGCAAUGAGAACUGAUUUACACUCUGGUUUCUAAUUUAGAAACAAUUUCACUGUGCUAGUUUCUCCUUUUGCACAAAGAUUUAGGAUGGUGCAGUAGGGUAAGGAAAAAUGGCUUCCCUUCAGUCUGCUAGGUUCUUUGGCUGGGCUACAAAUUAAAUUGCCAUAAAACAGAUUAAUAGGAGAAAACCAUAUUUAAUAACAUGUAUGCAUGGGAGUCCCAUAAAAUAUGGGAUUGGAAGAAGGAUCAGAUGAUUAUAUAGCAUCCUGAGGUACAGAAAGGAGUAGGGGCUUGGCACUUCCAGGGGAUGGUGGCAACACAAGCAAUGGGAGGAUAAGGGGAGACAAUGUAUGGUGAAUAAAUGGUUGUCUUACGCAGACAUAAGGUCUCUCACGUAAUACAAGUUAUCUGGGAGCAGCCCUCAGAAAAAUAGGUGUUAAUCUGUGGGGUCAUGGUGUCCACCUCCAAUCUCCUCUCCUGUGAUCGAAGUUAAUCUUCCUUGGUUGAUAAGAUUCCCAGGGAGGGGAUUCAUGACAAUUUAGUUCCUUUUGGGGGCUGUCUUUAGGAAGACUAAAGGGAGCUCAGAGGAAGCCUCUGCCGGCAUCCACUGUUCCCCAAGUGUCCUCAGUUCAAAGCAAUAAACAUACCAAUGUGUCAUAUUUUGGGGUGGCAUUUCCUGAAUCCCUUUAGUGAAAAAAGGAGAAAAUAAGAAUAGGCACCUCAUAGAAAAAUUUACCUCUAUUUCAAAUAAUGCAUAUUGGGAAAUUGAAUUGAAUGAUGAAGCAAAUAAAAUAUUUAUUUAUUGUAUGUAAUAUAGAUGAGUCAAUGUCGCUUUGAGAAAUUUAACUUUUUAAUUUGCUAACUUGGUGUUUGUAUUGCAUUAGCAAUUGCAAAUGAAUAUUAUUCUCUUGCAAGUGUCAAAAAGAUAAUGUUGUGGGGAAAGCAGCUCCAACUGUUACUCAGGCAUGGCUGGAAAAAGCUUGCACUCUUCAUUGUCUUUUUCUAGUCACUGAAUCGCCAGCUUUAUUUCUAUGGUGGCAGGUAUACCAAAAUCAGAAUGGGAUUACACUCACAUAUUAGUAUAUACAGCAACCUGCCUGUGUGAAAUAUAUGCAAAUCUUCCCCUACAUACCAUGUAGUUAACUCUACAAUGAACAAUAUAUAAAUAUUGUGGGUAAAGUAAAUCAAUAUAAAAUCAUACAUUCACAUUCACAAUAUUUUAAAAAUAUCAAAAUGGUUUUGGCUAAGAACAUAAAACAUUUUAUUUUUGGAAAAGGAAGUCUGUUUCAAUAGUCUUGUUAAAAAUACUACCAUAUAAACUAUGCACUUAAGAUACAAAAAAAGAGUAACACUUAACUUCAUAAGAAAUAUCAAACCAUUUAUUAUAAAUUAUUCAUUAAACGUAGUGAAUUAUUUUAUAUGGGAAAAUUCUCUUUGAAAUAAUAUUUGUAUGGCUUCCUAAAAUCAGACAAGGUUAGCUACACUUGAGUUUCUUACUUUCUUGCAUAUAAGUCAGAAAUAUUCUUUGAAAAGCUCAAAUACAAGAUAAGGUGUAUUCUCCACAUCUCUGUGUGUGUGUGUCGCAUGCAUGCACACACAUUAUCUCCACAUACACACACAUAUACACACACACACACACACGCACACAUCCUUAUUGUUAUUUUCUUCUCAUCUUCUAAAUGUAUUUAUUUGACUCCCAGUAGAAGACAACUGUAAGCUACAGGGAAAAAAUGCAAUUAAAUUUAUGUUCAGAAGAACAUAAACAAUGGGAAUAUGUUCUGAGAAAUUCAUCAUUAGGUGAUUUUGCAUUAUGUGAAUAUCAUAGAGAGUACUUACACAAAUGUAGCUAGUAUAACCUACUACAUACCUAGGCUAUAUGGUCUAGUGGAUUGCUCCUAGGCUACAAAUCUGUACAGAUGUUACUGUACUGAAUACUACAGGUGACUGUAACACAUGUUACGUAUUUGUGUAUCUACACAUAGAAAAGGUACAAUAAAAAUACAGUGUAGAAGAUAAACAAUGGUACAUGUGUAUGGACACUUACCAUAGAUAGAGAUUGCAAGAUGAAAGUUGCUGUGGGUGAGUCAGUGAGUCAAUGGUGAAUGAAUGUGAAGGCCUAGGACAUUGCUGUAAUCUUCUGUAGACUUUAUAUACACUGUACACAUAGGCUACUCUAAAUUUAUUUUAACAAAUUUUCUUCAAUAAUAAAUUAAUCUUAGCUUCCUUAACAUUUGUACUUUGUAAACUUUUUUUUAAACUUUCUCUUUUGUAAUAACACUUAGCUUAAAACACACAUUGCAUAGCUGUACGAAAAUAUUUUCUUUAUAUCCUUAUUUUAUAAAUUUGUAUUUUUAAUUUUUUUUUUACUUUUUAAGCUUUAUCAUUAAAAACUAAGACAUAAACACACAGAUUAGCUUAGGUAUACACAGGGUCAGGGUCGUCAAUAUCACUGUCUUCCACCUCCCCGUACUGUCCCACUAGAAGGUCUUCAAGGAGCAUUAACACACAUGAAGCUGUUUAUCUCCUAUAACAAUGUCUUCUUUAGGAAUACUUACUGAAGGAACUGCCUGAGGCCAUUUUACAGCUAACUAAAAAAAAAAUAAGUCUAAGAAGUACACUCUAAAAUAAUGAUAAAAAAUAUGGUAUUGGAGCUCAGAAAACAGUACCUCAAAAGGAAGGCCUCAGAAGCAAAAGGUUCUCCCUGAUCUUUUGCCAUCCUGUUUCUGGCCACUCAUUCUCUCUUAAGGCUGGCCAUUGAAACUAGAAUCCCUUCUUCCCAAGGCACGUCAUAGAAACCAGAACCCUUUUCCCCAAAGCCAGCUUAAAAAUAUUACUUUAACUUAAAAUAAAAUUUUAAAAUAUUACUUUAACUCCCACCUCACCCCUGCCUUUCUGUAUAAAAAUUGGCCAUAAAAAAUUAUCUCACCUACCUUGUUUGACUGUAGGUCAUAAGACCCCCCAUUCUAGAGAGGCUCCUGCCCCUUACCCAGAAGUAAGGAACGCUGCACAGAAAGGCCAGGAAGAAUCUAAACAGACAGGCCUUACUGGGUUCUCCCACUCAGUCUAUUAGCAUUAGAUCAUACCCUUUUUGUCCAAUCAUAUUUGCACAUGCUAUACAUACUUUGUUGAACCAAAGUAUAAAAAUGGACUGUUUCCUUCAUCUUUGUGUCUUCAUUCUAAAGGCUCCCAAGUCAUGUAAAAUUAUAAUAAAUUUGUAUUUGCCUUUUUUAUUAAUCUGCUGUUUUGUCAGUUGAUUUCCAUCAAACCUUCAGAGGGUGAAGGAGAAGUUUUCCCUGGGUCCCUACAAUAGUAUAGAUAAAUACAUAAACCAGUAACAUAGUCAUUUACUACCACUAUAAAGUAUUAUGUACUGUAUAUAUUUGUAUGUGCUAUACUUUUAUAUGACUGGCAAAGCAAUAGGUUUAUUUACAGCAGCAUCACCACAAACAUAUGAGCAAUGCAUUUUGCUCUGGCAUUAUGAUGGCUACAACAUCACGAGGUCAUAGGAAUUUUUCAGCUCCAUUACAAUCUUAUAGGACCACUAGUGUCAUUAACUGGAAUGUUGUUGUGUGGCACUUGACCAUAUAUGUUUUAAUGUUGAAGAGUGAAUUAAAUUAAUAACAGGGAAUUUCUUUGCUUUGGUUUACUUAAAUGUGAAAAUGGAUUGCUAUUUAAGCAGAGUGUACAAAAUAAAUACUUUUUUCACAUUCUAGUAAAAUGGCCAGUUUAAUAAUAUUUUGAACAAAAAAAAUUCCCCCCAGACCAAGGUGUUUUUUAUUUAAUAGGGAAAAAUAGUGCUAAAAUUUCAAAUGAUUUUUUUUUUCUUUCUUUUCUGUCACUCCUCUGGCUCUUUUUCCCAAUGAAUGAAUGAACCUGGGAAGAAUUAUCAGUCUGAUACGUGGUUUCUGGCAGACAGCUCCAGCUUACAACAGCAUCAACCAACAGACUUGUGAGUGAAGAUGGCUCCUGAAGGUAUCAGCCCCCCGCUGUCCAGUCACCUCCCAGCUUUUGAGUCUUUCCAGCCGAGACCCCAGACACCAAGGCACAGAGACAAACGUCUGCAUUGUAACCUGUCCAAAAUUCUGACCCACAGAGUUCUUGGCAUAAUAUAAUGAUUGUUUUAUGUCACUAAAGUUUGGAGUGGCUUGUCACAUUGCAAUAAAAAAUUGCAACAACGAAGGAGGUUGAUUAUCUUUUCAUGCUUAUUGAUCAUUUGCAUUUCUUCUGUGUACUGUCUAUUCACAAAUUUUGCCUGUUUGACUCUUGGGUUAUUUGUCUUGCUCAUAUUUUCUGCAUAUUAAUCCUACUUUUGUUACCUAUAUUGCAAAUGUAUUCAACCAGUUGCUUGCUAGGUAAUAGAGAAAUUUGAGUUUUAUGUAUCCGUUCAUUGUUUUCAUUUUUUAGUCUUGGGGUUUUGUAUCUUUUUUUUUUUUUUUUUUUUUUUUUUUGAGACGACGGAGUCUCUCUCUGUCACCCAGGCUGGAGUGCAGUGGCGUGAUCUCCGCUCACUGCAAGCUCUGCCUCCCGGGUUCAUGCUGUUUUCCUGCCUCAGCCUCCCAAAUAGCUGGGACCACAGGCGCCCGCCACCAUGCCCAGCUAAUUUUUUUUUUUUUUGUAUUUUUUAGUAGAGACGGGGUUUCACUGUGUUAGCCAGGAUGGUCUCGAUCUCCUGACCUCGUGAUCCGCCAGCCUCGGCCUCCCGAAGUGCUGGGAUUACAGGCGUGAGCCACUGUGCCCGGCCGGUUUUGUGUCUUUUUUAGAAAAAGGCUUUCCCAUUUGAAGAAUAUAAAAAUAUCCUAUACUUUCUUCUAGCACUUUUAUACCUUUUCUUAUUCAUCAUAAGAUCAGUCUCUGACUCUAUCUUGAAUUUAUUAUUUUACAUGGUAUGGGACAGUGAAAAUCUAACUCUUUUUAGAUGGAUAGUCAGUUGUCUCUGUACCAUUUAUUUAAAUCAUCCAUUCUUUUUCCAUUGAUUUGAAAUGCCUCCUUUAUGAACUAAAUUCUUAAAUAAAUAUAUGUCUAUUUCUAGACUGUCUAUUCUGAACCAUUAAACUGUUUGAUCAUUACUACAAAAGUGCCAUUUUAUUUUAAUUUAUAUAGCUUUUUGAUAUGUUCUGAUAUCCAGUAGAACGCAUAGUAUAGUCUAAUUUUUCUUCCCCCAGAAAUAUCUUUGCAGAUUUUAAGAAUUUCGUCUUUCAGAUAAAUUUCAGAAUAAACUCGCCAAGUGCCUUGCUUGGCACUUAAGUCACAGCCUUGCUUUGACUUAAUAAAUUAAUGUGUAGCAAACUGACAUAUUUAUUAUGUCUUCUUGUAUAUUAACAUGGUAUAUUUCCCCAU